CCAAAGUGGAGCCAACACGCAGAUGGCCUUCCAGGAUAAUGGGACCUCACGGCUGCGGCUGGGAAAACAUCUGUGCCCCUGACCCGUGUGCACCCCAUUAUCCCGCAGCUGGGGAUGGGACUGGUGGCUGCUUGCUCUCCGACUACUGAGUCCACAGCCCAUGCAGGCAUCAGAAAGCUCAGAGGACUGAAGAGGAUUUGACUCAUCGUGUUUUGGAGUUGGCCCAGACAUUAUGUGCCUGCAUCUGACCCUACUCAUUAGGAGAAUGCUAUUACCUUAGUAAACUAGCUACAGAAGAGGUUGGAGGUAUUACUCAUUCUAUAUGGUGCUGUACAGUUCUGAAAGUCACACUUCUGAUAUUAUGGAUGACCAAAUAAAUGGUUCCUUCUCCUUCUGCCAUGCCUUCUCACCAUGAAAGGCUGUAUUCUCAAACUGUGUUCCAAAGCCAGCCCAUCCUUAAGUUGUCUCCUAAAUAUUGGGUAUUUUUCCACAGCAACUAGAAAAGUAGCUAAUACAGGUGGUUACUUUUAUUAAGUAUUACAAUGCCUAUCACUAAUUGGUCCUGUAA